CAGAUAGUAUUUCAUUAAGAAUAUAAAUUUUGGGUGUUUAAGGAUUUGAUUUAAUCAAACUAUCUGA
rnacentral:tRNA from 1 species